CUGGAAAACCUGAUAAUUUCCAGCUAAAAGAAAAUUGCGUGUUUUUGUAUCAAAAACAAAUUGAUGAUGCACUGUGCUCUGACUUAAGGCCUUUCUUCUGCUACGAUGUCAUCAAAAAACAACAAACGGUAAAGGUGAAGAUCCAGUCUAAUGAGGACGUGAAUGAAUUCAAGACAGAAAUCUUGGAGCAGAUCAAGCUAAACCUGGUGGAAGAUGGGAUGGCAGGAAACAUCACGGUGAAAUGGAGGGUGCAAACAGAUGGAGCGGUGUUUCACAA